GUGCGCGCCUGGUGGAUGCCCGCCCACAGAGCUCUGCACUUUACUGUAUAUUUUUCUAGUUUAAUCUGUUAUUCAGUUACUUUAUCUAUAUCAUCUGAUUCUGUAUGUCUUCAGGAGGCUACUAGACUAUUUCGGCCAUAUUUCAUGUGAUAUUUGUCAUAUUACAUCUACUGGUUUUGCAUUCACCACUGCCUUACUUGUGUUACAUUUGUUCAAUCUGAAGUGGAGGGGCUGAUGCGAUGAAUUUCCAAAACCCUGAAUCGUUUUUUAAACUGGUCCUAAUUGGGGCUAUAAUGGGUACUCUGGUAUACAUCGCUAAUAUGGAUAACGUAUCAUACACAAAAUACAGAUUUGCUGAAUCACACAUAGUCUACGUAGAAAAUGAACUUUCAUUUCUCAGAAAAGAACAUCAAUAUAAUCAUACAACAAGACCGAGGCAUCCUCGUCCAUUUAUCACAAUUGCUCCAAAUAAUUCAGAACUGUCCUUCAGGAUAGAUCAAAAGUUUACUUUGUCUUCGUGUCCGUAUUCAUUGCAUGCCAAACUACAAGAGUCGCACUGGGCUUCCCAGUACUAUCGACCUGGAGUAAAGAUGAUCAUGACAAAUGGCAAUAUUAACCAGGAAGAAUAUCGACGCUUGAAUAAAUACGAUAUGCCGUUCGGA
rnacentral:lncRNA from 1 species